AGAGGUUGAUCCUGGCUCAGAACGAACGCUGGCGGCAGGCUUAACACAUGCAAGUCGAGCGCACUCUUCGGAGUGAGCGGCGGACGGGUUAGUAACGCGUGGGAACGUGCCCUUCUCUAAGGAAUAGCCACUGGAAACGGUGAGUAAUACCUUAUACGCCCUUCGGGGGAAAGAUUUAUCGGAGAAGGAUCGGCCCGCGUUAGAUUAGAUAGUUGGUGGGGUAAUGGCCUACCAAGUCUACGAUCUAUAGCUGGUUUUAGAGGAUGAUCAGCAACACUGGGACUGAGACACGGCCCAGACUCCUACGGGAGGCAGCAGUGGGGAAUCUUGGACAAUGGGCGCAAGCCUGAUCCAGCCAUGCCGCGUGAGUGAUGAAGGCCUUAGGGUCGUAAAGCUCUUUCGCCAGAGAUGAUAAUGACAGUAUCUGGUAAAGAAACCCCGGCUAACUCCGUGCCAGCAGCCGCGGUAAUACGGAGGGGGUUAGCGUUGUUCGGAAUUACUGGGCGUAAAGCGCACGUAGGCGGAUCAGAAAGUAUAGGGUGAACUCCCAGGGCUCAACCCUGGAACUGCCUUGUAAACUCCUGGUCUUGAGUUCGAGAGAGGUGAGUGGAAUUCCGAGUGUAGAGGUGAAAUUCGUAGAUAUUCGGAGGAACACCAGUGGCGAAGGCGGCUCACUGGCUCGAUACUGACGCUGAGGUGCGAAAGUGUGGNGAGCAAACAGGAUUAGAUACCCUGGUAGUCCACACCGUAAACGAUGAAUGCCAGACGUCAGCAAGCAUGCUUGUUGGUGUCACACCUAACGGAUUAAGCAUUCCGCCUGGGGAGUACGGUCGCAAGAUUAAAACUCAAAGGAAUUGACGGG
rnacentral:rRNA from 1 species